rnacentral:rRNA from 1 species
CGAACGGGUGAGUAACGCGUGAGUAACCUGCCCUGGAGUGGGGGACAACAGUUGGAAACGACUGCUAAUACCGCAUAAGCCCACGGAUCCGCAUGGAUCUGCGGGAAAAGGAUUUAUUCGCUUCAGGAUGGACUCGCGUCCAAUUAGCUAGUUGGUGAGGUAACGGCCCACCAAGGCGACGAUUGGUAGCCGGACUGAGAGGUUGAACGGCCACAUUGGGACUGAGACACAGCCCAGACUCCUACGGGAGGCAGCAUG